rnacentral:rRNA from 1 species
UAGGGAAUCUUCGGCAAUGGGGGGAACCCUGACCGAGCAACGCCGCGUGAGUGAAGAAGGUUUUCGGAUCGUAAAGCUCUGUUGUUAAGGAAGAACGAGUGUGAGAAUGGAAAGUUCAUACUGUGACGGUACUUAACCAGAAAGGGACGGCUAACUACGUGCAGCAGCCGCGGUAAUACGUAGGUCCCGAGCGUUGUCCGGAUUUAUUGGGCGUAAAGCGAGCGCAGGCGGUUAGAUAAGUCUGAAGUUAAAGGCAGUGGCUCAACCAUUGUAGGCUUUGGAAACUGUUUAACUUGAGUGCAGAAGGGGAGAGUGGAAUUCCAUGUGUAGCGGUGAAAUGCGUAGAUAUAUGGAGGAACACCGGUGGCGAAAGCGGCUCUCUGGUCUGUAACUGACGCUGAGGCUCGAAAGCGUGGGGAGCGAACAGG